rnacentral:lncRNA from 1 species
UUUAUUUUUUACAUCUUUUGACUCUGCCUUCUAUGGCUUUCUUGCCAGGAGGGAGGUAAGGGAAGAAGUAACCAUGUAUGCGUGUGCUACCCACGCUUGGCAGUUAACCAGGUUUGAUUUGAAUAAAGAAGUUAGACUGCAAACUACCUACGAUGCUUUUCAAACUAACUGAUAGAUCAAAUCUUGUGACAAGGCCAGAGCCCCUCUCC